rnacentral:rRNA from 1 species
AUGCAAGUCGAACGGCAGCACGGGUGCUUGCACCUGGUGGCGAGUGGCGAGCGGGUGAGUAAUACAUCGGUACGUACCGUGACGUGGGGGAUAACGUAGCGAAAGUUACGCUAAUACCGCAUACGUCCUGAGGGAGAAAGCGGGGGAUCGCCAGACCUCGCGCGUUAGGAGCGGCCGAUGGCGGAUUAGGUAGUUGGUGGGGUAAGGGCCUACCAAGCCGACGAUCCAUAGCUGGUUUGAGAGGAUGAUCAGCCAGACUGGGACUGAGACACGGCCCAGACUCCUACGGGAGGCAGCAGUGGGGAAUCUUAGACAAUGGGGGAAACCCUGAUCUAGCCAUGCCGCGUGAUCGAUGAAGGCCUUAGGGUUGUAAAGAUCUUUCAGGUGGGAAGAUAAUGACUGUACCACCAGAAGAAGCCCCGGCUAACUCCGUGCCAGCCGCCGCAGUAA